rnacentral:ncRNA from 1 species
UUUAUGGAGAGUUUGAUCCUGGCUCAGGACGAACGCUGGCGGCGUGCCUAAUACAUGCAAGUCGAGCGGAUUAAUGGGAGCUUGCUCCCGUUAGUUAGCGGCGGACGGGUGAGUAACACGUGGGCAACCUACCUUUAAGACUGGGAUAACUUCGGGAAACCGGAGCUAAUACCGGAUGACAUAAAGGAACUCCUGUUCCUUUAUUGAAAGAU